AACAGGUUAAUAUUCCUGUACUUGGUGUUACUGCGAAGGGGGGACGGAGAAGGCUAUGUUAGCCGGGCGACGGUUGUCCCGGUUUAAGCAUGUAGGCUGGUUAUCCAGGCAAACCCGGAUAAUCAAGGCUGAGGUGUGAUGACAAGGCACUACGGUGCUGAAGUAACAAAUGCCCUGCUUCCAGGAAAAGCCUCUAAGCAUCAGGUAACAUCAAAUCGUACCCCAAACCGACACAGGUGGUCAGGUAGAGAAUACCAAGGCGCUUGAGAGAACUCGGGUGAAGGAACUAGGCAAAAUGGUGCCGUAACUUC
rnacentral:rRNA from 1 species